rnacentral:rRNA from 1 species
CUACAGGCUUAACACAUGCAAGUCGAGGGGCAGCAUGGUCUUAGCUUGCUAAGACUGAUGGCGACCGGCGCACGGGUGAGUAACACGUAUCCAACCUGCCGUCUACUCUUGGACAGCCUUCUGAAAGGAAGAUUAAUACAAGAUGGCAUCAUGAGUCCGCAUGUUCACAUGAUUAAAGGUAUUCCGGUAGACGAUGGGGAUGCGUUCCAUUAGAUAGUAGGCGGGGUAACGGCCCACCUAGUCUUCGAUGGAUAGGGGUUCUGAGAGGAAGGUCCCCCACAUUGGAACUGAGACACGGUCCAAACUCCUACGGGAGGCAGCAGUGAGGAAUAUUGGUCAAUGGGCGAGAGCCUGAACCAGCCAAGUAGCGUGAAGGAUGACUGCCCUAUGGGUUGUAAACUUCUUUUAUAAAGGAAUAAAGUCGGGUAUGCAUACCCGUUUGCAUGUACUUUAUGAAUAAGGAUCGGCUAACUCCGUGCCAGCAGCCGCGGUAAUACGGAGGAUCCGAGCGUUAUCCGGAUUUAUUGGGUUUAAAGGGAGCGUAGAUGGAUGUUUAAGUCAGUUGUGAAAGUUUGCGGGCUCAACCGUAAAAUUGCAGUUGAUACUGGAUAUCUUGAGUGCAGUUGAGGCAGGAGGAAUUCGUGGUGUAGCGGUGAAAUGCUUAGAUAUCACGAAGAACUCCGAUUGCGAAGGCAGCCUGCUAAGCUGCAACUGACAUUGAGGCUCGAAAGUGUGGGUAUCAAACAGGGUUAGAUACCCUGGUAGUCCACACGGUAAACGAUGAAUACUCGCUGUUUGCGAUAUACUGCAAGCGGCCAAGCGAAAGCGUUAAGUAUUCCACCUGGGGAGUACGCCGGCAACGGUGAAACUCAAAGGAAUUGACGGGGGCCCGCACAAGCGGAGGAACAUGUGGUUUAAUUCGAUGAUACGCGAGGAACCUUACCCGGGCUUAAAUUGCAGAUGAAUUACGGUGAAAGCCGUAAGCCGCAAGGCAUCUGUGAAGGUGCUGCAUGGUUGUCGUCAGCUCGUGCCGUGAGGUGUCGGCUUAAGUGCCAUAACGAGCGCAACCCUUGUUGUCAGUUACUAACAGGUUCCGCUGAGGACUCUGACAAGACUGCCAUCGUAAGAUGUGAGGAAGGUGGGGAUGACGUCAAAUCAGCACGGCCCUUACGUCCGGGGCUACACACGUGUUACAAUGGGGGGUACAGAGGGCCGCUACCACGCGAGUGGAUGCCAAUCCCCAAAACCUCUCUCAGUUCGGACUGGAGUCUGCAACCCGACUCCACGAAGCUGGAUUCGCUAGUAAUCGCGCAUCAGCCACGGCGCGGUGAAUACGUUCCCGGGCCUUGUACACACCGCCCGUCAAGCCAUGGGAGCCGGGGGUACCUGAAGUGCGUAACCGCGAGGAGCGCCCUAGGGUAAAACUGGUA